rnacentral:rRNA from 1 species
GGCCAAGUUUUUAAGGGCGCACGGUGGAUGCCUUGGCACCAGGAACCGAUGAAGGACGUGGGAGGCCACGAUAGUCCCCGGGGAGCUGUCAACCAAGCUUUGAUCCGGGGGUUUCCGAAUGGGGAAACCCGGCAGUCGUCAUGGGCUGUCACCCGCUGCUGAACACAUAGGCAGUGUGGAGGGAACGAGGGGAAGUGAAACAUCUCAGUACCCUCAGGAAGAGAAAACAACCGUGAUUCCGGGAGUAGUGGCGAGCGAAACUGGAUGAGGCCAAACCGUAUGCGUGUGAUACCCGGCAGGGGUUGCGCAUGCGGGGUUGUGGGAUCUCUCUUUCACAGUCUGCCGGCUGUGAGGCGAGUCAGAAACCGUUGAUGUAGGCGAAGGACAUGCGAAAGGUCCGGCGUAGAGGGUAAGACCCCCGUAGCUGAAACAU